rnacentral:rRNA from 1 species
GACGAACGCUGGCGGCGUGCUUAACACAUGCAAGUCGAACGGAAAGGCCCUGCUUGCGUGGGGUGCUCGAGUGGCGAACGGGUGAGGAACACGUGAGUAACCUGCCCUUGACUUUGGGAUAACUUCAGGAAACUGGGGCUAAUACCGGAUAGGAGCUCCUGCUGCAUGGUGGGGGUUGGAAAGUUUCGGCGGUUGGGGAUGGACGCGCGGCUUAUCAGCUUGUUGGUUGGGUAGUGGCUUACCAAGGCUUUGACGGGUAGCCGGCCUGGGAGGGUGACCGGCCACAUUGGGACUGCGAUACGGCCCAGACUCCUACGGGAGGCAGCAGUGGGGAAUAUUGCACAGUGGGCGGAAGCCUGAUGCAGCAACGCCGCGUGCGGGAUGACGGCCUUCGGGUUGUAAACCGCUUUCGCCUGUGACGAAGCGUGAGUGACGGUAAUGGGUAAAGAAGCACCGGCUAACUACGUG